UGAACCACGCGGGACGUGGAAGGAAACAUUUAUGACAUCUGGAGCCCGAGGGGGACUCUGGAAGUGAAGGUUUUGCUAGAGCGAAAAAAGGAAGUUUCACUGGCAAAGUGAGGAACAAAGAAUUCACCGUAAAGAAAACAACUUCAAGACCAUGUGGAUUCCUGCAACAGAGAGGAAUUCUCAGGAAUGCUUCAGCCAUGAAGACAAGAGGAAAAACAAUCCAGGGAUGGAAGACACUGACAACGCUUUGCCAUGCUAGCAGUCAGCAGCUGUGUGUCACUGCAGGUUGCCCAGGAUCAAACCAGAGAAGUUUGGACCUGCGUUGUCAUCAUUUGUCCACCUUCUAGAACUGAAAUAUCAUUGCUGACAUGUACACAUAAGGAACUGUCAGACAUUGAGACUUGGACUCAGAACUGUUGGACAUUGAAAUUGGGAUUUGAACAUUCUUUGUUCUUAAAAUGUUAUAUUUAAGUUUUAAAAUGUUUUGGGUUACAGAUUGGCAUUGUUUUGUUAUUGUUUUAAUAGCCAGAGUUUUGUUCUUGAUGUUUAAGUUUUAUUUUCAUUAUAGUAGCU